rnacentral:tRNA from 1 species
GGGCCCAUGGUCUAGUGGCAGGACACAACCUUCACAGGGUUGGGGCAGGAGUUCAAUUCUUCUUGGGCCCA